rnacentral:rRNA from 1 species
GUGGGGAAUCUUGCACAAUGGGCGAAAGCCUGAUGCAGCGACGCCGCGUGAGGGAAGAAGGCUUUCGGGUUGUAAACCUCUUUCAGAAGGGACGAAGCUCCUCGGGUUAAUAGCCCAGAGGGUGACGGUACCUUCAGAAGAAGCCCCGGCUAACUACGUGCCAGCAGCCGCGGUAAUACGUAGGGGGCAAGCGUUGUCCGGAUUUAUUGGGCGUAAAGAGCGUGUAGGCGGCUGGGUAGGUCCGUUGUGAAAACUCGAGGCUCAACCUCGAGACGCCGAUGGAAACCAUCCAGCUAGAGUCCGGAAGAGGAGAGUGGAAUUCCUGGUGUAGCGGUGAAAUGCGCAGAUAUCAGGAAGAACACCCGUGGCUAAGGCGGCUCUCUAGUACGGUACUGACGCUGAGACGCGAAAGCGUGGGGAGCGAACAGGAUUAGAUACCCGGGUAGUCC